rnacentral:rRNA from 2 species
UCUGUCAAGUCGGAUGUGAAAUCCCCGGGCUCAACCUGGGAACUGCAUUCGAAACUGGCAGGCUUGAGUCUUGUAGAGGGGGGUAGAAUUCCAGGUGUAGCGGUGAAAUGCGUAGAGAUCUGGAGGAAUACCGGUGGCGAAGGCGGCCCCCUGGACAAAGACUGACGCUCAGGUGCGAAAGCGUGGGGAGCAAACAGGAUUAGAUACCCUGGUAGUCCACGCCGUAAACGAUGUCUACUUGGAGGUUGUGCCCUUGAGGCGUGGCUUCCGGAGCUAACGCGUUAAGUAGACCGCCUGGGGAGUACGGCCGCAAGGUUAAAACUCAAAUGAAUUGACGGGGGCCCGCACAAGCGGUGGAGCAUGUGGUUUAAUUCGAUGCAACGCGAAGAACC